CGAACGCUGGAGGCGUGCUUAACACAUGCAAGUCGAACGAUGAAAUGGAGCUUGCUCCGUGGAUUAGUGGCGAACGGGUGAGUAACACGUGAAUAACCUGCCCUUAAUUUUGGAAUAACCCAGGGAAACCUGGGCUAAUACCGGAUAAGUAAACCUGUGGCAUCACAUGGUUUUGGAAAGUUUUUUCGAUUAAGGAUGGAUUCGCGGCCUAUCAGCUUGUUGGUGAGGUAAUGGCUCACCAAGGCGACGACGGGUAGCCGGCCUGAGAGGGUGAACGGCCACACUGGGACUGAGACACGGCCCAGACUCCUACGGGAGGCAGCAGUGGGGAAUAUUGCGCAAUGGACGAAAGUCUGACGCAGCGACGCCUCGUGAGGGGACGAAGGUCUUCGGAUUGGUAAACCUCUUUCAGCAGGGACGAAGCGAAAGUGACGGUACCUGCAGAAGAAGCACCGGCUAACGUAUGUGCCAGCAG
rnacentral:rRNA from 1 species